GAUGAACGCUGGCGGCGUGCCUAAUACUUGCAAGUCGAGCGAACGGACGAGAAGCUUGCUUCUCUGAUGUUAGCGGUGGACGGGUGAGUAACACGUGGAUAACCUACCUAUAAGACUGGGAUAACUUCGGGAAACCGGAGCUAAUACCGGAUAAUAUUUUGAACCGCAUGGUUCAAAAGUGAAAGACGGUCUUGCUGUCACUUAUAGAUGGAUCCGCGCUGCAUUAGCUAGUUGGUAAGGUAACGGCUUACCAAGGCAACGAUGCAUAGCCGACCUGAGAGGGUGAUCGGCCACACUGGAACUGAGACACGGUCCAGACUCCUACGGGAGGCAGCAGUAGGGAAUCUUCCGCAAUGGGCGAAAGCCUGACGGAGCAACGCCGCGUGAGUGAUGAAGGUCUUCGGAUCGUAAAACUCUGUUAUUAGGGAAGAACAUAUGUGUAAGUAACUGUGCACAUCUUGACGGUACCUAAUCAGAAAGCCACGGCUAACUACGUG
rnacentral:rRNA from 1 species